rnacentral:misc_RNA from 1 species
UUGAAUAAACCUGGCGUGAUUGUUGCUGGUCCUCUCGGGGGCAUGUGCACAUCCGUCAUCUUUAUCUUUCCACCUGUGCACAUUUUGUAGAUCUGAAAUUUUUUUUCGAGGCAACUCGUUUAUGAGGGACUGCUGUGCGUCACUGCCAGCUUCCCUUGGAUUUUCAGGUCUAUGUUUUCACAUACACCAUAAGAAUGUAAUAGAAUGUUAUAUUGGGCCUUGUGCCUAUAAACUAUAUA